GACGAACGCUGGCGGCGCGCUUAACACAUGCAAGUCGAGCGAGAACCAGUCCUUCGGGACUGGGGAAAGCGGCGAACGGGUGAGUAACACGUGGGUAAUCUGCCCUCGGCACCGGAAUAGCCCGGGGAAACCCGGAUUAAUGCCGGAUGGCCUCUCUGCCCCUCGGGGCGGCGAGAAAAGGUAGCUUCGGCCUCCGGCCGAGGAUGAGCCCGCGGCCGAUUAGCUUGUUGGUGGGGUAACGGCUCACCAAGGCGACGAUCGGUAGCUGGUCUGAGAGGACGAUCAGCCACACUGGGACUGAGACACGGCCCAGACUCCUACGGGAGGCAGCAGUGGGGAAUCUUAGACAAUGGGGGCAACCCUGAUCUAGCCAUGCCGCGUGAGUGAUGAAGGCCUUAGGGUUGUAAAGCUCUUUCAGCUGGGAAGAUAAUGACGGUACCAGCAGAAGAAGCCCCGGCUAACUCCGUGCCAGCCGCCGCCGUAAAAC
rnacentral:rRNA from 1 species